GAUGAACGCUGGCGGCGUGCCUAAUACAUGCAAGUCGAGCGAACAGACGAGGAGCUUGCUCCUCUGACGUUAGCGGCGGACGGGUGAGUAACACGUGGAUAACCUACUUAUAAGACUGGGAUAACUUCGGGAAACCGGAGCUAAUACCGGAUAAUAUAUUGAACCGCAUGGUUCAAUAGUGAAAGACGGUUUUGCUGUCACUUAUAGAUGGAUCCGCGCCGCAUUAGCGAGUUGGUAAGGUAACGGCUUACCAAGGCAACGAUGCGUAGCCGACCUGAGAGGGUGAUCGGCCACACUGGAACUGAGACACGGUCCAGACUCCUACGGGAGGCAGCAGUAGGGAAUCUUCCGCAAUGGGCGAAAGCCUGACGGAGCAACGCCGCGUGAGUGAUGAAGGUCUUCGGAUCGUAAAACUCUGUUGUUGGGGAAGAACAAAUGUGUAAGUAACUAUGCACGUCUUGACGGUACCUAAUCAGAAAGCCACGGCUAACUACGUG
rnacentral:rRNA from 1 species